AUUGGGACUGAGACACGGCCCAAACUCCUACGGGAGGCAGCAGUAGGGAAUUUUCGUCAAUGGGGGAAACCCUGAACGAGCAAUGCCGCGUGAGUGAAGAAGGUCUUCGGAUCGUAAAGCUCUGUUGUAAGUGAAGAACGGCUCAUAGAGGAAAUGCUAUGGGAGUGACGGUAGCUUACCAGAAAGCCACGGCUAACUACGUGCCAGCAGCCGCGGUAAUACGUAGGUGGCAAGCGUUAUCCGGAAUCAUUGGGCGUAAAGGGUGCGUAGGUGGCGUACUAAGUCUGUAGUAAAAGGCAAUGGCUCAACCAUUGUAAGCUAUGGAAACUGGUAUGCUGGAGUGCAGAAGAGGGCGAUGGAAUUCCAUGUGUAGCGGUAAAAUGCGUAGAUAUAUGGAGGAACACCAGUGGCGAAGGCGGUCGCCUGGUCUGUAACUGACACUGAGGCACGAAAGCGUGGGGAGCAAAUAGGAUUAGAUACCCUAGUAGUCCACGCCGUAAACGAUGAGAACUAAGUGUUGGAGGAAUUCAGUGCUGCAGUUAACGCAAUAAGUUCUCCGCCUGGGGAGUAUGCACGCAAGUGUGAAACUCAAAGGAAUUGACGGGGGCCCGCACAAGCGGUGGAGUAUGUGGUUUAAUUCGAAGCAACGCGAAGAACCUUACCAGGGCUUGACAUCCCACUAACGAAGCAGAGAUGCAUUAGGUGCCCUUCGGGGAAAGUGGAGACAGGUGGUGCAUGGUUGUCGUCAGCUCGUGUCGUGAGAUGUUGGGUUAAGUCCCGCAACGAGCGCAACCCUUGUCGCAUGUUACCAGCAUCAAGUUGGGGACUCAUGCGAGACUGCCGGUGACAAACCGGAGGAAGGUGGGGAUGACGUCAAAUCAUCAUGCCCCUUAUGGCCUGGGCUACACACGUACUACAAUGGCGACCACAAAGAGCAGCGACACAGUGAUGUGAAGCGAAUCUCAUAAAGGUCGUCUCAGUUCGGAUUGAAGUCUGCAACUCGACUUCAUGAAGUCGGAAUCGCUAGUAAUCGCAGAUCAGCAUGCUGCGGUGAAUACGUUCUCGGGCCUUGUACACACCGCCCGUCAAACCAUGGGAGUCAGUAAUACCCGAAGCCGGUGGCAUAACCGUAAGGAGUGAGCCGUCGAAGGUAGGACCGAUGACUGGGGUUAAGUCGUAACAAGGUAUCCCUACGGGAACGUGGGGAUG
rnacentral:rRNA from 1 species